GGUAGGACUACCCGCUGAACUUAAGCAUA
rnacentral:rRNA from 15 species